rnacentral:snoRNA from 1 species
AAGAUGGGGAUGAAGCAAAAAUAUAGAUAAUCCAACACUUGAUCUGAGAUGUCUAUCGAGUGAUGCUAAACUGAAUAGCUUCUGAAUCCGU